UGGCGGACGGGUGAGUAACGCGUGGGGUAACCUGCCUCAUACAGGGGGAUAACAGUUAGAAAUGACUGCUAAUACCGCAUAAGACCACAGUGCCGCAUGGCACAGGGGCCAAAGCCUUGACGGUAUGAGAUGGACCCGCGUCUGAUUAGGUAGUUGGUGGGGUAACGGCCUACCAAGCCGACGAUCAGUAGCCGACCUGAGAGGGUGACCGGCCACAUUGGGACUGAGACACGGCCCAAACUCCUACGGAAGGCAGCAG
rnacentral:rRNA from 1 species